rnacentral:rRNA from 1 species
AACGAACGCUGGCGGCAUGCCUAACACAUGCAAGUCGAACGAGAUCUUCGGGUCUAGUGGCGCACGGGUGCGUAACGCGUGGGAAUCUGCCCUUUGGUUCGGAAUAACAGUUGGAAACGACUGCUAAUACCGGAUGAUGACGAAAGUCCAAAGAUUUAUCGCCAGAGGAUGAGCCCGCGUAGGAUUAGCUAGUUGGUGUGGUAAAGGCGCACCAAGGCGACGAUCCUUAGCUGGUCUGAGAGGAUGAUCAGCCACACUGGGACUGAGACACGGCCCAGACUCCCACGGGAGGGAGCAGUGGGGAAUAUUGGACAAUGGGCGAAAGCCUGAUCCAGCAAUGCCGCGUGAGUGAUGAAGGCCUUAGGGUUGUAAAGCUCUUUUACCCGGGAUGAUAAUGACAGUACCGGGAGAAUAAGCUCCGGCUAACUCCGUGCCAGCCGCCGCAGUAAGAC